rnacentral:rRNA from 1 species
CCUACGGGAGGCAGCAGUGGGGAAUCUUCGGCAAUGGAGGAAACUCUGACCGAGCAACGCCGCGUGAAUGAUGAAGGUUUUCGGAUUGUAAAGUUCUUUUGUAAGGGAAGAAGAAAGUGAUGGUACCUUAGGAAUACCCCUCGGCUAACUACGUGACAGCAGCCGCGUUAAUACGUAGGAGGAGAGCGUUAUCCGGAAUGACUGGGCGUAAAGGGCGCGUAGGUGGUUUGGCAAGUUAGUAGCGGAACUCUCAGGCUCAACCUUGGAACUACUACUAAAACUGGUGGACUUGAGUGUAGGAGAGGAGACCGGAAUUCCUAGUGUAGCGGUGGAAUGCGUAGAUAGUAGGAGGAACACCAGUGGCGAAGGCGGGUUGCUAGACUGUAACUGACACUGAGGCACGAAAGCGUGGGGAGCAAACAGGAUUAGAUACCCGAGUAGUC